UUUUUUUUUUUUUCUUUUGCUUCUAGUAUUAAAGUAUAAAAAAGUGUUGAAAGUAGAUAGAUGUAACUUAGAACUAUAAAAUAAUAACACAGUUUGGUUUGGCUAAAUGUUCUUGCAACUAUUUGUGUAACAUUUACCUCAAACUAGUUCAAUGAUUUUCUUGAGAUAAAGUUUUCUUCUAUCCAAACUUUUUUUUUUUUUUU